UACGUAGGGUGCAAGCGUUAAUCGGAAUUACUGGGCGUAAAGCGUGCGCAGGCGGUUUUGUAAGUCUGUCGUGAAAGCCCCGGGCUCAACCUGGGAAUUGCGAUGGAGACUGCAAGGCUUGAAUCUGGCAGAGGGGGGUAGAAUUCCACGUGUAGCAGUGAAAUGCGUAGAGAUGUGGAGGAACACCGAUGGCGGAAGGCGAGUCCCGUGGACAACACCUGACACUGGAGGCAC
rnacentral:rRNA from 1 species